UGCCUGUUGCCUUGUGUAGAAAGAAGGAGACAAAUUGGGGGGUUGCCCACCAGACGAUGGACUCUGCAACCAGAAUACUCCUCCUGAUCAGUGCUUGAAUGACAAACAGUGUCCCUCUUCUUGGAAGUGCUGUCGCCGAGCCUGCUUCCUCCAGUGUAUGCCUCGUGUCUUUGGCUAAUUCUGGCUUACGAUCUAUGGCUCUGCACCCCAGGUGUGGUUCCCACCAGAAAGAGAUCAUGAUGUGCCAGCCAGGGAUCCUGCGACCCAGAUCUUCUCUCCAGAGACAGUUGUGACCUUCUGACAAGCACUGGCCUGUUGUCAGCUCCCUUACAACUCAUGCCUCCUGCAUUCUCCUCUGAGUGCCAAGGUCCACACCAGACAUCAAAAGCAUAGCUCAUCAUUCGGCUCCGGCACCCCACACCACUGUUGUGCUGGGCUUCCCAUCCCACCUCAGAACCAGUGUUAUAUCUCUCUGUACAUUGUUCCCUCCACUUCAAAUGCCAAGCCAGGCAGCCCCUUCUCUCCCGAGCCCUGAACCCACCUGCAGACUAUCCUCCCCAAAAUAAUGUGUGUCCAGAAAGAAUUUUCCAAACAUCAGUCCAUCCACACAUGCUGCCUCAGUCCCCAUCAUCCCUGCAGAGCCACCCCGUAAUGUGUAAAGUUGUGUGAAGUACCUCUGUACAUCUACUCACUUAACGUCUUCAUUUAAACGGCUCACUUUUGGAUGUUAACAAUUCAUUUCCAAGGGAUGGUGUGGGAGGGGAGGGCAGAGGAGGUUUGGUGUCGCUAAGGUAAAUAAGAUCUGCAAGAUCAACGGACAGAGGCAGCAUGGAUCUUCGAAGCCAAGUGUAAUGAAAACAAUAAUUCCAU
rnacentral:lncRNA from 1 species